UCCAUUUCCAUGGCUGGAGCACUGGAUGUUUUACUGUGGAUGUGACAGUCUGGUCAGACAGAGAAAGCUGGGUAAGCAUUCCCAUGAACCUGUCUGGGAGGUUUUAGGGAGCUGGGGAGAAACAAUGAGAGUCAAAUAUUAAACAAUCUGCAGGUGGUGUUUUCAACAAGCUGUUUUCCUCAUAAAGUUGUUUACAGAUGGGUGUCUGCUUAAUUAGCCAACCAUGUGAAUUGUGUUGAUGAAAUGACCAGUCAGGUCCACUGGAAACCAAGGAAUAAAAAGGAGAGGAGUGAAUGAAUGAGCUGCCUUUUGCCCUUUGCCUUCUGAUCUCACUCUGUGACAUUUCUGACUCAAUGCUGACGUUUUACCUGUAAAUUCAGAGUCUGCUCAAGAGAUUUCAGAGCAAAUAAGAGAUUUUCUUAACCUUGUGGCAGACGUGCUUUUGUUUAUGUGGGUGGUGUCAAUACCAACCACCAGCAAGCAGGCUGGACUGCAGAAACAUUUAAGUGGUUAAAAGUCAAAGGCUGGACUUGCUGUGCAAUUGCCAUGCAUUGAGCUCAUCAUUGUGAGUGCUUGGUCUUGGGAUUUGUAUGUUGAGACAGCUCUUGAAGGAAGAGUUUUUAAUUUUUAAGACUUUUUUAAAUUUAAAAGCAUUCAUUUUGAUACCUGUCAAACAGCAUUUCUUAUCCCUCAGUAAAUAAUUUCUUUCAAGGAUUUUUCCAUA